rnacentral:rRNA from 1 species
GACGAACGCUGGCGGCGUGCUUAACACAUGCAAGUCGAACGGUGAAGCGCCUUCCUUUUUGGUGGGUGUGGAUGAGUGGCGAACGGGUGAGUAACACGUGAGUAACCUGCCCCCUUCUUCUGGAUAACCGCAUGAAAGUGUGGCUAAUACGGGAUAUUCUGGGUCUGUCGCAUGAUGGGUCUGGGAAAGAUAUUGUUUCGGUGGGGGAUGGGCUCGCGGCCUAUCAGCUUGUUGGUGGGGUGAUGGCCUACCAAGGCGGUGACGGGUAGCCGGCCUGAGAGGGUGGACGGUCACACUGGGACUGAGACACGGCCAAGACUCCUACGGGAGGCAGCAGUGGGGAAUAUUGCACAAUGGGCGAAAGCCUGAUGCAGCGACGCCGCGUGAGGGAUGGAGGCCUUCGGGUUGUGAACCUCUUUCGCCAGUGAAGCAGGCCUGCCUCGUUUGUGGGUGGGUUGACGGUAGCUGGAUAAGAAGCGCCGGCUAACUACGUG